rnacentral:rRNA from 1 species
AUUCCAGCUCCAAUAGCGUAUAUUAAAGUUGUUGCGGUAAAAAAGCUCGUAGUUGGAUUUCUACCGAAGAUAGCCGGUCGGGUCUUCGACCUUGUAUCUGGUUUUGUCUUUGGUAUCCUCAUGGGGAACGUUGCUGCGCUUCACUGCGUGGUGCGGUAUCCAUGACUUUUACUUUGAGGAAAUUAGAGUGUUCACGGCAGGCAAACGCCCUGAAUAUAUUAGCAUGGAAUAAUAACAUAGGAUCUUCGUCCUAUUUUGUUGGUUUCUAGGGCUAAGAUAAUGAUUAAUAGGGAUAAUUGGGGGCAUCUGUAUCAACGCGUCAGAGGUGGAAUUCUUGGAUUGCGUUGCGACAAACUACUGCGAAAGCAUUUGCCAAGGAUGUUUUCAUUA